GAUGAACGCUGGCGGCGUGCCUAAUACAUGCAAGUAGAACGCUGAAGGAAGGAGCUUGCUCUUUCCGGAUGAGUUGCGAACGGGUGAGUAACGCGUAGGUAACCUGCCUGGUAGCGGGGGAUAACUAUUGGAAACGAUAGCUAAUACCGCAUAACAGUAGAUGUUGCAUGACAACUAUUUGAAAGGGGCAAUUGCUCCACUACCAGAUGGACCUGUGUUGUAUUAGCUAGUUGGUGAGGUAACGGCUCACCAAGGCGACGAUACAUAGCCGACCUGAGAGGGUGAUCGGCCACACUGGGACUGAGACACGGCCCAGACUCCUACGGGAGGCAGCAGUAGGGAAUCUUCGGCAAUGGACGGAAGUCUGACCGAGCAACGCCGCGUGAGUGAAGAAGGUUUUCGGAUCGUAAAGCUCUGUUGUAAGAGAAGAACGAGUGUGAGAGUGGAAAGUUCACACUGUGACGGUAUCUUACCAGAAAGGGACGGCUAACUACGUG
rnacentral:rRNA from 1 species